rnacentral:tRNA from 1 species
UAAAAGAUAAGCUAAAAUAUAAGCUAAUGGGUUCAUACCUCAUUUAUGGAUAAAUCCUCUUUUUA